UACGGAGGGUGCAAGCGUUUAUCCGGAUUUACUGGGUUUAAAGGGUGUGUAGGCGGACUUUUAAGUCAGCGGUGAAAUCUCCGGGCUCAACCCGGAAACUGCCAUUGAUACUAUUGGUCUUGAAUGUUGUUGAGGUGGGCGGAACGGGUCAUGUAGCGGUGAAAUGCAUAGAUAUGACCCGGAACACCGAUUGCGAAGGCAGCCCACUAAGCAAUGAUUGACGCUGAGGCACGAAAGCGUGGGGAUCAAACAGG
rnacentral:rRNA from 1 species